GUGGAGCAGCCGGAGCAAACUACGACAAGGCUCUCCGCACCCUAGCCCUCAAGUCCUGCAGUGCAGCUCUGAUUACUCUGUCCUUUCCUCCCUCUUCUCAGCUCAGCGGGCUUCCUCCUAUCUCGGGUUAACCAAGUAAAACCUGACCUCGGGACUUGGCAGGCUGUCCGUCUGCUUGAAAUCUUCUUCCCCCAGAAUCAGACCCCCUCCCUCCUGCCCUCCCCUGCAACUUUCCCCCACUGGAAACUUCUGACUCCUCUUACACUGCUGGACUCAUCCAGAGGCACCCUCCUCACCCUGUGUGCUUCUGCUGUCUCUCGACCGUCUCACUCAUUAGAAGGAUCUGAGCUCCAAGAGUAGGACCAACCAGAGAGCCCAGCCUCCACCCCACAUUCUCACCAGCAACCCCUCGGAAGUGUGCAGACCAAGUGGUUGUGCAAAUGAAGGAAGACAAAUGAGCUGGGCACAUCGUUUUGACUUUGGGGAACAGAAGUCACAUGGUGCCAGUUCUGAUGAAGAAGGCAGAGGAGGACACACCAUAAUAUUUUCAUUUUUUACAAGCCUUUCUUUCCAUUGGAUGAAUCUCAGAAGCAGAGUUCACUCUAUACUUGAAAAGUUGAGGACCGCCAGCACUCUGGAAAGCAGGAGGA
rnacentral:lncRNA from 1 species